UUUGCGCAACUGAAUUAGGACAUCGAUUAAAAGUUGUACUUGGCAUUUGGACCUCGAACAAUGGCUCGCAUUUUUUUCGCAAUCAAUUUUCAAUAAUCGCUUAUCAAUAACCAAUGCUAUCUUGCAAAUUAUGUUUAUUUUUCGAAGGAAUCCUUUAAUGCAAAGAAAUGCUGCGAUAUUAAAAAUAUUUUGAGAUCACUUGAGCUGUAUAAACCUGGUGUUGUGUUGGUAGGUUAGCCCAAAUUCAUCAGCCUUCGAUGUGUACACGACGGGAAUUUUGUGGCAGUUUUGGUACAAAAACCCAUAUCAUCUUACGCGCUCACUACGUCUCUGAGGGGCAAAUUUUAGAAAUUAUGAGUACGAUGUUGGUAUUUGUGAUCUUACCGUCAUGCUCUUUGCCAUCCUCAUCAUCAGCACUAACAGAGAGAAGACUUAUUUAGACUGAAGAUUUGAAUACAAAAUUUAUUAUUCGUCAGUAAAAGUUAAAUCGUUUCAAA